rnacentral:rRNA from 1 species
AUUGAACGCUGGCGGCAUGCCUUACACAUGCAAGUCGAACGCGAAAGGGGGCAACCCCGAGUAGAGUGGCGAACGGGUGAGCAAUACAUCGGAACACGUCCUGUAGCGGGGGACAACCCCGAGAAAUCGGGGCUAAUACCGCAUACGAUCCACGGAUGAAAGUGGGGGACCGCAAGGCCCCACACUAUAGGAGUGGCCGAUGCCGGAUUAGCUAGUUGGCGGGGUAAUAGCCCACCAAGGCUACGAUCCGUAGCUGGUUUGAGAGAACGACCAGCCAAACUGGGACUGAGAAACGGCCCAGACUCCUACGGGAGGCAGCAGUGGGGAAUUUUGGACAAUGGGCGAAAGCCGGAUCCAGCCAUGCCGCGUGAGUGAAGAAGGCCUUCGGGUUGUAAAGCUCUUUCGGCGGGGACGAAAUGGCGCGGGGUAACAUCCCGCGUCGAUGACGGUACCCGAAGAAGAAGGACCGGCUAACUACGUGCCAGCAGCCGCCGUAACAC